UUUCCGGUUGAUCCCGCCGGAGGCUACUGCUAUUGGAAUCCGAUUAAGCCAUGCGAGUCUAAAGGACUUCGGUCCUUGGCGGACGGCUCAGUAACACGUGGAGAACCUGCCCUCAGGAGGGGGAUAACCCCGGGAAACUGGGAAUAAUACCCCAUAGGUCUAGAAUGCUGGAAUGCUUCUAGGCUGAAAGCUCCGGCGCCUGAGGAUAGCUCUGCGGCUUAUCAGGUUGUAGUGAGGGUAACGUCCUCACUAGCCUAUGACGGGUACGGGCCCUGAGAGGGGAAGCCCGGAGAUGGACUCUGAGACACGAGUCCAGGCCCUACGGGGCGCAGCAGGCGCGAAAACUCCGCAAUGCUCGAAAGAGUGACGGGGGGAUUCCAAGUGCCUACGCUCAGCGUAGGCUGUUCAGACGCCUAAAAAGCAUCUGGAGUAAGGGCUGGGUAAGACGGGUGCCAGCCGCCGCGGUAAUACCCGCAGCUCAAGUGGUAGUCGAUUUUAUUGGGCCUAAAGCGUCCGUAUCCGGUCUGGUAAAUGCUUGGGUAAAUCGUGGGGCUCAACCCUACGAAUUCCGGGUAGACUGCCAGACUUGGGACCGGUUGAGGAAGAGAGUACUUUAGGGGUAGGAGUG
rnacentral:rRNA from 1 species